rnacentral:snRNA from 1 species
UGCCUACUUUUUAGAAAGUUCCU